AACAAGGGAAAAGAACUCUCUAGAAGAGUGGGAAUACCAGGAGCUGGUAUUCCCACUCUUCUAGAGAGUUCUUUUCCAU